rnacentral:rRNA from 1 species
CAGUACCGCGGUAAGACAGAGGGUGCAAACGUUGUUCGGAAUUACUGGGCGUAAAGCGUGUGUAGGCGGCUUCGCAAGUCGGAUGUGAAAGCCCCGGGCUCAACCCGGGAAGUGCACUCGAUACUGCGGAGCUAGAGUGUCGGAGAGGUUGGUGGAAUUCUCGGUGUAGAGGUGAAAUUCGUAGAUAUCGAGAGGAACACCGGUGGCGAAGGCGGCCAACUGGACGAACACUGACGCUGAGACACGAAAGCGUGGGGAGCAAACAGGAUUAGAUACCCCAGUAGUCCCUGUCUCUUAUACA